GUUCUUGAUGCGCCGAGGUCUGCACCCUAUAUUGGUCAUGUUCCCUCGGGGACUAUGGACAUAAACGCGCUCGUAAUAAGCGGAUCGGACCCGGGGGCGGUACCCGGCGGCUCCACCAAACAUCCUUCAUUUGGGGAUCAUGGGGCCGAAACAGGAUCGACGGACGUCUAAAGGGGUUUGCUUUGUCUCGGUGAGGUACCACCGAUAUCGGUCCAAUCAAGCUAGUUGCAAAUGACAACAAAGCUCCGAUGGCCCUCGCUGCGUAAGCAGUGCGGAAUAUCGAAAUCUAAGUCCUUUCGCCUAGCAGCGUAAGGCGGGGCCCGCCGGAGCCUGGCAACAGAAUCCGGCACC
rnacentral:tmRNA from 1 species